rnacentral:lncRNA from 1 species
UUGUGGAUAGUGCUGCUAUGAACACAUGGGUACAUCUUUUUGAAAUAUAGUUUUGUCUGGAUAUAUGCCCAAGAGCAGGAUUGAUAGAUCAUAUGGUAGUUCUAUCUUUAGUUUUCUGAGGAACCUCCAUACUGUUUUCCAUAGUGGUUGUACCAAUUUACAUUCCCACCAACAGUGUAGGAGGGUUCCCUUUUCUUCACACCCUCUCCAGCAUGUUAUUUGCAGAUUUAUUAAUGAUGGCCACUCUGACUGGUGUGAGGUGGUACCUCAUUACAGUUUCGAGUCAUAUUUCUCUAAUAAUUAGUGAUGUUGAGCACUGAGCAUUUUUUUAUGUGCCUCUUGGUCAUCCUUUGGCUUCUUUGGAGAAAUGUCUACUUAGGUCUUCUAAAUAUUUUUAAAUCUCCAGAAGUAAGAUACAGGAAUGUUACAAGUGAUUGUUCUUAGUAAUGGAGAAGUUUUGCAUGGGGAUAACUUAGCCCAUCAUAUUUCCAAAGUUAAGGGUUCUUUCUUUCACAGUAGUCUAUGAGCCUGUGAUUGUAUUCUAUCAUGCCAGGUGUCAGAGCCUUGGGUGAUGCUAAUAAUGAGAUUUAAUGAGUAUUUCUCUGAGCCAGGAUCCAUCCAAAGGGCUUUAUACAACUCAGUUAAUUUCUCAACAAGUCUAAUAAAUCAGUAUUUUUAUUAAAGUAUUAUUAUCAUCUUCUCAAUUAAGAAACUGAAGCACAGCAAAUUUAUACAACUUACCCAAGGUCACAUAGCUAGUAGACUGAAGAGCUCUUAACCUGCUAGUGACCAUAAUUAACAUUUUGAGGGUCUCCUCUGCACCAAGCAUUUUGCCAGAAGCAUUCCAGAGAUGAUCUUGUUCCGGGUUUGUCUUAGAGAUGAGAUAACUGAGGUUCAGUUUGCCUAAGUCACAAGUCCACUGUCAACCCAGCUGGUGCAUCUCCUAGCUGAGAACCUCUCAUUUGAAAGAAUUUGAUGAGUUCACCAUAUUAAAGGCCUUUCUUCUGUGAGUGGUUAUACAACUGCAGAUAUUCCUUUUGCUAAAUCAAAGUGGAGAAAAUGCAUGUGUUGAAAUCUGGGUCCCAUUUACUGCUCGAGAUUUAUAGAAUGAUAGAUUGCAGAAUGUCUAGAAAUGCGUCUUGAAUGAGCAUGUGCUAUAGUCUUGCAGAUGUUUACACCCUGAACAGCUGGCUGUUUAAUCAUCAUGUGGGUCAAAGCUCAAAGGCUACCUCCUCAGGAGACAUUCUGUGAUCCCCCUACAUUAGGUUUUUAAAGUACCCUCCCACCCCCGCAAACACACUCUUCCAGGUAACCACACACACAACUGCAGUUACGUUUCAUUCACAAUGUUUUGUUGUCUCCUGAGCAUGUAACACUAUUGAUAUUGUCCUAUUUUUUUUUUAACCCGAACAUAGUUUCAUGAGAGCAGAGAGCUAGCAGUUUUGUUGACCACUCCAUCUCUAGAACUUAGGACAGUACCUGUGACACCACGCGCAACCUGAGAUUUUUAUUGAAUGAAUGAAUUUUUCUUAUUCUCCUUACUAAAAAAAAAAUACCAAUAGCAGUACAUUUUUAUUGAGCCAUUCCCUAUGUGCCUUGCUUUGUGUUAAGUACACAUUUUCUGAAUUUAUUUGUAACAGUAGGUUAGGGAGUUGGUCCUAUCCGCCUGAGGAAACUAAGACACACUGUUGCUGCAUUACUUGCAUAAGGAUACACACCUAGCAGUCCAGAGCCACAAGGCACCCCCUAGAGACCACACCUAGUGCACUCACCUAUGACUGCAAAAGGACCUGAACAGUUCAAUUUACUCUUUGGUUGGUUGUCUCAACAAGUCAUUUAUUUGGUUUCAUUAUUCACUUUAUGGACAAGAUGUAAAUUCAACUAACAUUUAUUAACACGUGCAUAGAUUGUGUGGCAAACAUCAUUAGUCUCCUCUUACAAUGGGAGAAAGGGAAGUUCAGGAAAGUGAUAUUGGUGUUUCCGGCAAGUGAUAAAACAAUACUAAGCCAGGACUAUGAAUUCCAAGUCUCCUACUUAUUCAGUUAUGUACUGAAGACAAAUAGCAUCACUAGCUAAGAGUUUCCAUUAUUUUCAAACUCUGUAUUUUUUUGUCCUUUUAAAAAUUCAAGUAUAGCCGAUUUACAAUGUUGUGCUAAUUUCUGUUGUACAGAAAAGUGACUUAGUUAUACACGCACAUACAUUCUUUUUUUUUUUUUUUAUCUUUUUAGGGCCGCACCUGCAGCAUAUGGAGGUUCCCAGUCUAGGGGUCUAAUCAGAGCUGUAGCCGCCAGCCUAUACCAGAGCCACAGCAAUGCAGGAUCCGAGCUGCGUCUGUGACCUACACCACAGCUCAGGGCAAUGCCAGAUCCUUAACCCACUGAACAAGGCCAGGGAUCGAAACCGCAACCUCAUGGUUCCUAGUCAGAUUCCUUAACUAUUGAUCCACGACAGGAACUCCCAUACAUUCUUUUCUUAAAAUAUUCCUUCCCAUUAUGGAUUAUCCCAGGAGUUUGAAUAUAGCGUCCUGUAAAACUGUGUGUUGAGAAGAGUUAUAUGACGGUGAAUAUUGUGACUGCUUUGUGAAGUGCUCUCUUGGAGCAGAUAACAUUUGAGUACAGAUUCUUGAUAGUUAUUUAGGUCCAGAUCUAUACAUGAGUUGAUUUGGGGGGGAGAGGGUUGCAGAUAUCUAACCUACACACAAAAAAAAGGGGGCCUGGAUGAUUUUCUUACAGUUUUUGCUCUCUUGAGGUGAGUUUUACAUUUCCAUUCCAUAUCCCUAAAUAGCAGUGGACAAAUCUCUGGAGCACUCAUUGAUUUGCUUUCAGGAUAAAGAAUAAUUUCAGGAGUAAUUCAGAAAUAGCAAAGCAAGUCUGUGCCCCUUUUAAAGAGGUCAGAUAGUUACUAAAAUAAUAAACAUACAUUUGGGCUUUUCCCGUACAAGAAAUGGGAAACAAUGGAAAGAUAUUUCUUAUAAUAUUUAACUCAACUAAUUUAAAAGUUAUCUAUUUGGAAGCAUUAGACCACAAACAAAACAAAACAAAAACACAACAAUCUAGAGAUUCCAAACUUACCAAAUAGUAGAAAGAGAAAAUUUUCUGCAUAUCUCUUUGGAAUUUGGGGAAAAUAGAGAAAUAAAAAUCCAUGUUUUCAGCUACAAUCUGUCAAUUGAUAUUCCUUUAAGGGAGACAAGAAUUUUUAGGUUGUCAGGCAAAUAUUCUGAUUCUAAAAAGGGAAACACACCCAUAAAAUUAAAAAUGUGUUGUAUUCCCUAGGCUAUUUCAGAGGUGAUACAACCAUUUAUAGCUUCUCAUACAAUCUAAGGAAAAAAUGCAAUUUAUUGUAUCAAUUCAACCAUAACACACCAGAAGAUCAUUAUUACUCUGUUAUCAGAAACUAUGAAAAAAUGUAAGGAGCUAAAUUUGUAAGACUACAUCAGAGUUAGGAUAUUAGUAAACUUUUUUUUUUUACCGAGAACUUUAUUACUGACAAAUUCAAAUGCUAAAUUCCUGAUGAAUGUGUACUGAGAGUUACCAAUACUUUUACUAAAGAUCUUGCAUUUACUCCAAAUUUUUCAACCAGAUAUUUGACUAGUAGAUUAUUAGGUAAUUUCCUAAGAAUGCUUGAGAAGUUUAUUAGUUAUGUCCAAAUAAAUAUAUGGAUGCCCUUCCUCCAGCUAAUCAAUUGGUUAGCUCGAUCAAUAGCAAAUAAACUGAAAUUUGGAGCAUCCUUCAUGGGAUUAGAGACCAUUGCCUAUGAUUGUCACACAUCCCUCAUCCUUCAAUUGCACGUGCUCUGGAGAAGGGCUUUCUCUUCCUUUGAGAUGCCCAGCUGUGUUGCUAUAUGAUGCCUUAAUAGAUGCACAACUGAAACUAGGUUUCAUUUCAGUCUAUGUGCUUAGGAUUAAUUAGAGUAAGGUGACUAAUGAGUUAGUCAUUCUAGUUAAAAUUGUGCCAGAAACCUCACGCUUGUAAUCUCUUUUGUUUCCUUCUACCAACAACCUUGCUGGGAGAGGUGGGGACCUUCCCCACUUCAUAGACAGGAAAACAGAUUGAACGAGUGAACACAUAAUUCCUGGAUGAGACAUCGUUGACAUCCACACUCGACUCUUCAAGUUUUGUUUGUUCCAUUUUCCCUCAAUAACACUUUUUAUGUUAACUCUGCACUGAUGCUGUCUUAAAUCUUGUUCAGAAGUAUUUCAGGAUUACAUUUGUGAUUUUGUUGUUGCUUUUUUUUCUAUCCAUUAUUUAGUAGCCUUUCUUCUCUUUAGUGUCUUCACCCUAUUCUUGGAAGCUGAAGGCUUAGGGAAGUUUCAAUUAUUAGACAUGUCAAGGAAAUGAUUACUUAACUCAGAAAAUUUAUAGCAAUGUUGAGAAGACUGGUCUUCUAUUCUGCAAGACCUGAUCUGAGCCCUGGCUUCGCUAUUGAUUGGUUGGGUGAUGUGGGGCAAAAUUCUUGUCCUCCAUAAGUAUGGGCUUCUCCAUCUUCCCUUCUCUGAAUAAUGGUCAUGCCUAAUGCUCAUGGUUAUUUACACACUAGUUCAUUAAAGAGCUGUUUAUCCAGCCCUCAUAAUGUGCCAGAUACAUGGUAGUGAAUUAACUAACUAAUUGGCCUGUAUUGAAACAGUUUAUUCUAACGAGGGAAGACAGAUAAUAAACUAAAUAAACUUAUGUCAAGAAGUAUAAGGGCUCUGCGGAAAUAUAAAGCAAAGUAAGAGUCAUAAGCUGUUGUAAGGGAAUACAAGAAUGACAAGGUAAGAGGGUUAGAUUUUAUAAAUUGACUAAGGAAGCUUCUCUUAUAAGGUGAUAGUUGAGUAGAGACCUGAAAGAAAUGUUAUUGAAAGAAUCAAGAAAAAUAAAAGACACAUAUGGAGUGUUUUGCAGGAUGCUGGCUGUGGGAGAUUUCAAACCAUUAGUGCAUAAUCAUUUAAUUUAAUUCAUUUUAUGUGUGCAUUUACUUCACUGUGAUAACACUUAUCAUACAUCUACCCUUUUAACGAAUUUUUGAAUAUACAGUACAGUGCCAUUAACCACAGGCACUAUGUUAUCAGCAGAUCUGUGUAACUUAUUCAUCUCACACAACUGAAACUUUCUACCAAUUGAGUCCCCUUUUCAGUCCUUAGAACUGGAGCUCCCUGAGAUGAGGAGACACUUCUGUUUUGUUUAUUGCUGCACCACCAACACUCACAAUGCCUGGGGAGAUUUCCAUUACAACAAAGCUGAGGCUCUUUGAGUCUCUGCCUAUUUCCGGAUGGCUACACAGAAAGAGGGGGUCAGAAGAUGCAGGAAAACACUGGGAGUGGGACAGAAAUCUCUGGGGUAGCAGUCAACUGUCCCACGUCAUCAGAAUGCCAUCAGAGGUAUAGAUCCAGAAGGUUAGGGGGCGCGAACUUGAUGCCAGUUUCAGAAAAAACAUGCUGCUUCAAUAAGAAAUUUCCUUAAAAGCACUGGGUAAUGUACAGAAGUUCACACAGGUUAGGUCCCAAGACCUGGAGACAAGCACAGGCUUCACAAACCUGGGUGGGGAUUUAUGGAGGCAAAUAUCCAGUGGAGGAUUUAAAAGGCAUAAGUUUCAAGCAUUCCAUUCUGGCUUGCUGUUUGCUUGCUGGAAAUAGCCAAGGUACAUGCCAGAGGCUAGGAUUCUCCUUCCUUUUAUUCAUUCAAUUAAUAUUUACUGGUGAAUAUAUGAGUCUAGUGCUUUGAUUUACAAAAUACAGAGUUUGUUGUGUUUUCAGUUCCUUGUUCCAAAUACAUGAGAUAGGAAACUUUAUGCUGUUUAAAUGGUGUCUGCCAUGAGGUCUAUGCUGUCUCAUUUGGUGAGACCAAAUAGAAGUGAUUGCGUCUAAAAUAACUUAAACUGGAGGAGAACUAGCAUUUUAUGUACCCAGAGACUGUUUGACAAAACUGAAUGAUUUAUAGAGUAGUCUCUUAAGUGGAUUUGCUUCUGAUUUACAUAGUGUACAUUUCCCCCCUAGAAUUUUAGCUAGUGUGAAAGAUCUUUGGAGAUUAUGUUAAGUAUUAGGAACCUCACCACAGUUUACUCUGCACUAUUUAAUUGCAGAUCUUGGAAACACUCAUUCAGAGAUGCCAGACAUUUACUGAAUUUCUGGUUCAGUUUUGCAAAAUUGUAAACAUCUUAGAAAAAAAAAAAAAAAA